AUGAACGCAAGUGAAUUCCGAAGGAGAGGGAAGGAGAUGGUGGAUUACAUGGCCAACUACAUGGAAGGCAUUGAGGGACGCCAGGUCUACCCUGACGUGGAGCCCGGGUACCUGCGGCCGCUGAUCCCUGCCGCUGCCCCUCAGGAGCCAGACACGUUUGAGGACAUCAUCAACGACGUUGAGAAGAUAAUCAUGCCUGGGGUGACGCACUGGCACAGCCCCUACUUCUUCGCCUACUUCCCCACUGCCAGCUCGUACCCGGCCAUGCUUGCGGACAUGCUGUGCGGGGCCAUUGGCUGCAUCGGCUUCUCCUGGGCGGCAAGCCCAGCAUGCACAGAGCUGGAGACUGUGAUGAUGGACUGGCUCGGGAAGAUGCUGGAACUACCAAAGGCAUUUUUGAAUGAGAAAGCUGGAGAAGGGGGAGGAGUGAUCCAGGGAAGUGCCAGUGAAGCCACCCUGGUGGCCCUGCUGGCCGCUCGGACCAAAGUGAUCCAUCGGCUGCAGGCAGCGUCCCCAGAGCUCACACAGGCCGCUAUCAUGGAGAAGCUGGUGGCUUACUCAUCCGAUCAGGCACACUCCUCAGUGGAAAGAGCUGGGUUAAUUGGUGGAGUGAAAUUAAAAGCCAUCCCCUCAGAUGGCAACUUCGCCAUGCGUGCGUCUGCCCUGCAGGAAGCCCUGGAGAGAGACAAAGCGGCUGGCCUGAUUCCUUUCUUUUCAAUUCCACAGUGUAAUGUGGAAGAACUGACAUGGCUCAAAGUUAGCACGCAGAGCAAGGUGACAGCCAAGACAUUUUGAAGGAUGCAAAAAGAGUCUGCCAGUGGAUCAAGGUGUACCUGCCAUCUUAUCCCAAAAGUCUUAUCUUUCUCCGUUGCGUUCAUCUCCACAGGCCAUACAGAUGGUUGCCACCCUGGGGACCACAACAUGCUGCUCCUUUGACAAUCUCUUAGAAGUCGGUCCUAUCUUUUGCAGAUUCAUUCAACUUUAAUCCCCACAAAUGGCUAUUGGUGAAUUUUGACUGUUCUGCCAUGUGGGUGAAAAAGAGAACAGACUUAACGGGAGCCUUUAGACUGGACCCCACUUACCUGAAGCACAGCCAUCAGGAUUCAGGGCUUAUCACUGACUACCGGCAUUGGCAGAUACCACUGGGCAGAAGAUUUCGCUCUUUGAAAAUGUGGUUUGUAUUUAGGAUGUAUGGAGUCAAAGGACUGCAGGCUUAUAUCCGCAAGCAUGUCCAGCUGUCCCAUGAGUUUGAGUCACUGGUGCGCCAGGAUCCCCGCUUUGAAAUCUGUGUGGAAGUCAUUCUGGGGCUUGUCUGCUUUCGGCUAAAGGGUUCCAACAAAGUGAAUGAAGCUCUUCUGCAAAGAAUAAACAGUGCCAAAAAAAUCCACUUGGUUCCAUGUCACCUCAGGGACAAGUUUGUCCUGCGCUUUGCCAUCUGUUCUCGCACGGUGGAAUCUGCCCAUGUGCAGCGGGCCUGGGAACACAUCAAAGAGCUGGCGGCCGACGUGCUGCGAGCAGAGAGGGAGUAGGAGUGAAGCCAGCUGCAGGAAUCAAAAAUUGAAGAGAGAUAUAUCUGAAAACUGGAAUAAGAAGCAAAUAAAUAUCAUCCUGCCUUCAUGGAACUCAGCUGUCUGUGGCUUCCCAUGUCUUUCUCCAAAGUUAUCCAGAGGGUUGUGAUUUUGUCUGCUUAGUAUCUCAUCAACAAAGAAAUAUUAUUUGCUAAUUAAAAAGUUAAUCUUCAUGGCCAUAGCUUUUAUUCAUUAGCUGUGAUUUUUGUUGAUUAAAACAUUAUAGAUUUUCAUGUUCUUGCAGUCAUCAGAAGUGGUAGGAAAGCCUCACUGAUAUAUUUUCCAGGGCAAUCAAUGUUCACGCAACUUGAAAUUAUAUCUGUGGUCUUCAAAUUGUCUUUUGUCAUGUGGCUAAAUGCCUAAUAAACAAUUCAAGUGAAAUACUAA
rnacentral:misc_RNA from 1 species